CCUACGGGAGGCAGCAGUGAGGAAUAUUGGUCAAUGGGCGAAACCCUGAUGCAGCGACGCCGCGUGAGUGAAGAAGUACUUCGGUAUGUAAAGCUCUAUCUGCAGGGAAGUAAAUGACGGUACGUGAGUAAGAAGCACUGGCUAACUACGUGCACGCAGCCGUGGUACUACGCAGGGGGCCAGCGUAAUCCGGAUUUAUUGGGUGUAAAGGGGGCGUAGACGGCUGUGUAAGACCGGAGUGAAAGGCUGGGGCUGAACCCCCGGACUGCAUUGGAAACUGUACGGCUGGAGUGCAGGAGAGGUAGGUGGAAUUCCUGGUGUAGCGGUGAAAUGCGUAGAUAUCAGGAAGAACACCGGUUGCGAAGGCAGCUUACUGGACUGCAACUGACGUUGAGGCUCGAAAGCGUGGGUAGCAAACAGGAUUAGAUACCCGUGUAGUC
rnacentral:rRNA from 1 species